GGUGGGGAUGACGUCAAGUCAGCAUGGCCCUUACGGCCUGGGCUACACACGUGCUACAAUAGGUCGGUACAAAGGGUUGCCAAGCCGCGAGGUGGAGCUAAUCCCAUAAAACCGAUCGUAGUCCGGAUCGCAGUCUGCAACUCGACUGCGUGAAGUCGGAAUCGCUAGUAAUCGUGAAUCAGAAUGUCACGGUGAAUACGUUCCCGGGCCUU
rnacentral:rRNA from 1 species